rnacentral:rRNA from 1 species
GACGAACGCUGGCGGCGUGCCUAAUACAUGCAAGUUGAGCGAUGAAGAUUGGUGCUUGCACCAAUUUGAAGAGCAGCGAACGGGUGAGUAACGCGUGGGGAAUCUGCCUUUGAGCGGGGGACAACAUUUGGAAACGAAUGCUAAUACCGCACAACAACUUUAAACAUAAGUUUUAAGUUUGAAAGAUGCAAUUGCAUCACUCAAAGAUGAUCCCGCGUUGUAUUAGCUAGUUGGUGAGGUAAAGGCUCACCAAGGCGAUGAUACAUAGCCGACCUGAGAGGGUGAUCGGCCACAUUGGGACUGAGACACGGCCCAAACUCCUACGGGAGGCAGCAGUAGGGAAUCUUCGGCAAUGGACGAAAGUCUGACCGAGCAACGCCGCGUGAGUGAAGAAGGUUUUCGGAUCGUAAAACUCUGUUGGUAGAGAAGAACGUUGGUGAGAGUGGAAAGCUCAUCAAGUGACGGUAACUACCCAGAAAGGGACGGCUAACUACGUG